rnacentral:rRNA from 1 species
CAGUCGCCGCGGUAAUACAGAGGGUGCGAGCGUUAAUCGGAUUUACUGGGCGUAAAGCGUGCGUAGGCGGCUAAUUGAGUCGGAUGUGAAAUACCCGAGCUUAACUUGGGAAUUGCAUUCGAUACUGGUUAGCUAGAGUGUGGGAGAGGAUGGUAGAAUUCCAGGUGUAGCGGUGAAAUGCGUAGAGAUCUGGAGGAAUACCGAUGGCGAAGGCAGCCAUCUGGCCUAACACUGACGCUGAGGUACGAAAGCAUGGGGAGCAAACAGGAUUAGAUACCCCCGUAGUCCCUGUCUCUUAUAC